CAGUCGCCGCGGUAACACGUAGGGUGCGAGCGUUAAUCGGAAUUACUGGGCGUAAAGCGUGCGCAGGCGGUUGUGUAAGACAGGUGUGAAAUCCCCGGGCUCAACCUGGGAACUGCAUUUGUGACUGGCAAGCUAGAGUAUGGCAGAGGGGGGUGGAAUUCCGCGUGUAGCAGUGAAAUGCGUAGAUAUGCGGAGGAACACCGAUGGCGAAGGCAGCCCCCUGGGCCAAUACUGACGCUCAUGCACGAAAGCGUGGGGAGCAAAUGAGAUUAGAUACCCCCGUAGUCCCUGUCUCUUAUAC
rnacentral:rRNA from 1 species